AGUGAACGCUGGCGGUAGGCCUAACACAUGCAAGUCGAACGGCAGCACAGUAAGAGCUUGCUCUUACGGGUGGCGAGUGGCGGACGGGUGAGGAAUACAUCGGAAUCUACUUUUUCGUGGGGGAUAACGUAGGGAAACUUACUCUAAUACCGCAUACGACCUACGGGUGAAAGCAGGGGAUCUUCGGACCUUGCGCGAUUGAAUGAGCCGAUGUCGGGUUUGCUAGUUGGCGGGGUAAAGGCCCACCAAGGCGACGAUCCGUAGCUCGUGUGAGAGGAGGGUAAGCCACACUGGAACUGGGACACGGACCAGGGUCCUACGGGAGGCAGCAGUGGGGAAUAUUGGACAAUGGGGGCAAGCAUGAUCCAGCCAUACCGAGUGGGUGAAGAAGGCCUUCGGGUUGUAAAGCCCUUUUGUUGGGAAAGAAAAGCAGCAGGUUAAUACCCCGCUGUUCUGACGGUACCCAAAGAAUAAGCACCGGCUAACUUCGUG
rnacentral:rRNA from 1 species